ACAGCAGCAGCCACGGGAAUACGAGGGGGGCAAGCGUUGUUCGGAAUUAUUGGGCGUAAAGGGUGCGUAGGCGGUUUCGUAAGUCUUAUGUGAAAUCUCUGGGCUCAACCCAGAGUCUGCAUGGGAAACUGCGAGGCUUGAGGAUGGGAGAGGUGAGUGGAAUUUCCGGUGUAGCGGUGAAAUGCGUAGAUAUCGGAAGGAACACCUGUGGCGAAAGCGGCUCACUGGACCAUUUCUGACGCUGAUGCACGAAAGCUAGGGGAGCAAACAGGAUUAGAUACCCGCGUAGUCCCUGUCUCUUAUAC
rnacentral:rRNA from 1 species